AAGUCGUAACAAGGUAUCCGUAGGUGAACCUGCGGAUGGAUCAUUACCAAUUUUAUUAUACUAGUUUGUGUAGCCCCUGUCCGUCUUCGGGGAGGUUGUUACACACAACUAUUAUGUAAAUGUUGAACUAGAUCAAUCAGUGUGGGAUUGUUUGGGAAAGGCGAUGUAACUAUAUUAUAUCUCCGGACAGGCAAACCCCACAUUGGUAACCCCUUUUCAAAUAUUAUACUACUACUCGUAUAUACUACCAAAAAUACAAAUAACUCUCAAUAGGACUUAUUAAUGGCUGAGUGGGUAAAAUCCUCGGCUUUAACAAAAAAAUAUAACAAAAUACAACUUUCAGCAAUGGAUCUCUAGGCUCUC
rnacentral:misc_RNA from 1 species